rnacentral:SRP_RNA from 1 species
GCUGGGCGUGGUGGCGCACACCUGUAAUCCCAGCUACUCAGGAGGCUGAGGCAGAAGAAUUGCUUGAACCCAGGAGGCGGAGGUUGCAGUGAGCUGAGAUCACACCAUUGCACCCCAAGCCUGGGCAACAGAGCAAGACUCUGUCUCAA